UUUCCUACGGGGCGCAGCAGUGAGGAAUAUUGGUCAAUGGACGAGAGUCUGAACCAGCCAAGUAGCGUGAAGGAUGACUGCCCUAUGGGUUGUACACUUCUUUUAUAUGGGAAUAAAGCGAGCCACGUGUGGCUUUUUGUAUGUACCAUACGAAUAAGGAUCGGCUAACUCCGUGCCAGCAGCCGCGGUAAUACGGAGGAUCCGAGCGUUAUCCGGAUUUAUUGGGUUUAAAGGGAGCGUAGGCGGAUUCUUAAGCCAGUUGUGAACGUUUGCGGCUCAACCGUAAACUUGCAGUUGAUACUGGA
rnacentral:rRNA from 1 species